rnacentral:pre_miRNA from 12 species
ACAGCCAGUUUGCAACUCGCGCUACUCCGGUACUUACGACUGUGCAUUCGAUAGUCAGGUACCUGAAGUAGCGCGCGCUGCGACUGGA